rnacentral:RNase_P_RNA from 1 species
CUUUUAAAUUUAGAUGAUCGCCCCGAUCCCGACGUAAAGUCGGGAUCGUGGAGGAAAGUCCGAACACCGCUUUUUUCGUUUUAUUAAACGGAGGAUAAUUGGUAACGCCAACCGCUUGACCGGGCAACCGGCCAAUCAGGACAAGUGCAACAGAGAAUAUUCCUAUUUGUGGGCCAAGAGUAUACUCUCCGCAAAUUAAGGGUGAAAAGGUCGGCUAAUCAGCUGACCCGUCCAGCUGGCGACAGCUGGAAAGAGGUAAACUCUAUCCGGUGCAACUUCAAGUAGGUUCCGAUUAACGUCGGAGCGGGUUGAAGGCAUGAUCCUGAUUCGUAAGAUUCAGGACUAGAUAGAUGAUCAUCCCUACCCGCCGAUUCGGCGGGCGGGACAGAAUUCGGCUUAUUAAUUUAAAAGGACA